AUAUCUUUCUCACCCUUUUGGAUAAAAUCAAGUGUAGUAUAUGUUCUUAUUAAUUUAAUAAUUGAUAUGUCAGUCAUCAGUCUAUUAUGAUGUUAAAUUAAUUUUUUAUUACGAGAGAAUUCACCCUAGUAGUUUGCUACUGGGACCCUUUUGUGUAUUGCCCUUGCGUGACACCAUAGUAUGGGUUUGAUGCAUCUAGC